rnacentral:SRP_RNA from 2 species
GCCGGGCGCGGUGGCGCGUGCCUGUAACCCAAGUCACCCGGAGGCUGAGGUUGGCGCUCUAUGUCGAACGGGAGUCCGCACUAAAUUCAGUAUCUAUAUAGUUAGUACUCAUGGGGUAGCCUGGGCCCACCACGUCGUCUACGGAGGGCAGCAGUGGCCCAGGUCGGAAAAGAAGCAGCUCAAAUCCCCGGGGCCGUCCCGUAGUGGGAUAGCGCCUGUGAGUAGACUCUGCAGUGAAUCCUU